AGGACGAACGCUGGCGGCGUGCCUAACACAUGCAAGUGGAGCGACGAACCAGGCUUCGGCCUGGGGCAGAGCCGCGAACGGGUGAGUAACACGUGACUAACCUACCCUCGAGUGGGGAAUAACCUCGGGAAACCGGGGCUAAUACCGCAUAACAUCCACGGAUCAAAUUUUGCGUAAGCAGCUUGAGGAGGGGGUCGCGGCUGAUUAGCUAGUUGGCGGGGUAAUGGCCCACCAAGGCAGUGAUCAGUA
rnacentral:rRNA from 1 species